rnacentral:rRNA from 1 species
UACGUAGGGGGCAAGCGUUGUUCGGAAUUACUGGGCGUAAAGGGCGCGUAGGCGGUACGACAAGUCGGGAGUGAAAGCCCGGGGCUCAACCCCGGGACUGCUUUCGAAACUGCCGAACUUGAGUGCAGAAGAGGCAACUGGAAUUCCCAGUGUAGCGGUGAAAUGCGUAGAUAUUGGGAAGAACACCUGAGGCGAAGGCGGGUUGCUGGGCUGACACUGACGCUGAGGCGCGAAAGCCAGGGGAGCGAACGGG